ACGGUUUCUCAUUGAAAAACUGU
rnacentral:siRNA from 1 species